rnacentral:lncRNA from 1 species
AAAAUAUUUUAUGAAACGAUUUAUGAGGUUUCCUCUCAUCUAAUUCUACAAAUGCUCUGUGAAUAGCUUCUGACUGGCUAAAAAGUCUCACUCCGUAUAACUUAAGAGAGUGUGACUUUGUUGUGGUAUGUCCUUGAUCCUGGAGCAUUCAGGAAGCUUGAAAUAUUUUCUCUAUGACCCUUCACUCUUUCAGUGAUGAAACUUGCCACAACUUGCCACAACACAAACUUGCCAUGUGUAUAGUAUAUAUACACAUGACCCGAUCCCUAUUUUUAUUACCAGGGAUUUGGCUCUAACUUUGCCCAACUCUCAGGUGAUACUAAACUCUGGAGAUUUCCCUGACCUUCACAUUUGCUGUAGAGGACUAAACCCUAGUGCUAGAUGGAGUUUGGAUGCUCACUUUCAUUACCUGAUCCUUAAAAAUUUAGAGCAAAUAUUUCUGAUUUAAGAUAAAAUUAUUAAUAUGAUGUGUUAACAUUUGUUUCUGGGGUGUUAUUAUAGCAAUUAAUGAGUCAUGUAGGAGCUCCAAAAUAGCAAUUCAGAAAUAGAUAUUACUGAGUAAGCAGUAAAAUAAAUAUCAAAAUUCUAAUGAUUGCCAGCUUUGAGUAAAUCAUGCCAGUUUAGGAAACAGAAGUGUCUAUGAUACUGCUGAACUAACUAUAUACAGCCCCCCAACAAUUAAAGCCAUAUUAAUUUGAAAGCAGUCAGUAAAUAUAAGAAACUUAGUUAUAAUAUAUAAUAUAUGAAUAUAUAAUAUAAUAUAACUUAGUAUAUAUAAGAAACAAUAGAUCAGUAGAUCUUCACCAUGACUGCAUGUUAGACCUAUCAAGAGAGUUUUUAAAAAUUAGCUUCCUCUGUUCCCUUCCCUACCCAAUCAAUUAAAUUGGGCUCUCUGUGAUGCGGCCAAGGUGUUAAUAUUUGUGCUGAGUUCCCUAGGUACCAAUAAUUUUUCAACAGACAGGGCUGAGAAACAUUGCAGUCUAUUAUUUUUCUGGGGCAUUAUAUGGCACUUCCAUAGAGUAAAAUUGAAACAAAGAGGUUUGAGUGCAAAGUAUGACUCACCCAACUUCUCUUAGCCUCAAUUUCCCCAGCUAUAAAGAAAGAGACAGUAUCUGCUCCACCAAAUUGUUGAGAAAGUUAAGUAUUGGGAGAAGGAGAGGCUGUCAACCCAUGCCACUAUGCUAUCUCUAAUUCUGCCAUCCAGACCGAGCAAACGUACUUAAGACCUUUGUGUAAGAUCAGAAAAUCAUAAGACAGCAUUAAAAAGUACUAUACAGGAGGAGAUGGAACAAGAUGGCCAAAUAGAAGCCUCCAGCAAUCAUCUCCCCGAAAGGAAUUGAACAACUAUCAAAACAAAAUUGAACAACUAUCUAAACAAAAAAGUACCUUCAUAAAAAACAAAAAUCAGGACAAUAUCAGAACGGCACAUACAAGUGUCCCCAAGUCAUAUUUGGAAUAAGAUCACUUGGGAACACAAGUCAAAGAAGGACACAGUGUUCUGCCUCUCCUGAGUAAGCAGCAACAACGCACCAUCUUGGAAUCAGGGGACGGCCCUCACCAGACAACUAAAUCUGCAGACACCUUGGACUUCCCAGCCUCCAGAACUGUCUUUCUGGCAACUGUCUAAACAUAAACCAGAGAAGGGCAAGGCAGACUCAGGAAGGACAAAUAGAAGGCUAUUUUCAUAAAUCGGACCACCACCACAUGUGCAGCAUCCCUCUGGGUCUCUUCCAUGACAACCCUGUGGGAAGCCAGGCAAGUGAGAAUCAAUGUAAACAUGAAGUUCAUGCUGCUUACUGUGUCGUGAUAAUGUCCUUGUCUCCCAAUCAGGAGCCUCAUGUCUUCUUGCCAGCCUCUGUGGAACUGUGGUAGGCUAUUAAGUUAAUUAGCAAGCAGGGUAAAGUCUCAGAUCCUUUGCAUUUUCUUUUAACCAGCUCUUUCUAGGUGAAAGACACAUGGAUAUCACUGUGAAACUUCAUGCUCUGUAUAGCUCAAAAUUUUGCCCAAGGGGAGGUUCCAGCACCAUCUGAUUAGUACAUAUUGCUGAGAAAAAUACUAAAGGAAGAAAAUACUAAUAAUAAUAUAUUUCACUAACCCUCUUAGAUAUUAAGAAAUGAAUGAAAAGGUCUAUAUUAUUGACUAUUAAUCACUUGGAAUCUCUGUUGUUAAACUGAGAAGUAAACUGCAUUGCCUAGAAUAUUGGCCAUAUUUUUAGUGAUACUAAUUAAAUUGUUUGAGAUAGAUCUGAAGACAGCAGAAGCUUGUCUGGGCCUAGCUUCCUUGAAUUCUUCUUCCCCGAAUUGCUAUGUCUUGGUAAUUUUGAAAUAUGAGUUAGAAACCAUCUACUUACCUAACUGAUAUCAUUAUUCCAGUUAAUGUUUGUCCCAAGGUAUUUCUCAAAGACUUAAGAAAAAUGAAAAUUCUAUUUUUUAAAGGGCCUAGCUCUUUUAAAAGGAUAUGUUUCAUGGAAUUCUAUUUAUCAACAAACAUGUAGACUACUUCAACAAGACUUCAAUGUGAUUUCAUGUGUUUAUUCUCCUGAGUCAGAUGUGAACAAUGUAAUCCUAAAAGAUUUUGGGGAAUGGUGACAUAUGCUACUUAAUUCACACUCAUGAGCUUAAGAGAAGAUAAGAGAAUGUCAUGCUCAUGUGUGACAAAGAUAAAACUAUAUUCUAACUAGGAUUACAAGAAUAAAACACCAGAAACUUGACAACUUGACAUUUUUUCACAGUGCUUAAAAAUAAAUGUAAUAAAACUUUGGCAGUUAAUGUCAUUUUGAUUUGCUUUAAUUUUAUUUUCAAACCUCUAUUAUUGAAAUAAUAAUUUCAUUAUUUCAAACCUUCAUAGGAAAAUAAUAGAAUUGUGCUGUUGUGUCAGUAUAAGACAUAGUCAACAUUUUCUGCAAUGAACAAGUAAUGUUGAGAUUAACAAGAUUUCUCUUAAUAAAUGUUUUAUACAAGCAUAAGAAAAAUGGAUAGCACAAAAAAUGGAUAGCACAAUAGGGUAACAUUAGCACUUUAACAAAUAAAUCCCAACAUUCUAAUGGCUUAAUACAAUUGAAUUUUAUUUCUUGCUCAUGCAACAGUCCAGCACAGGUGCUCAUGGUCUGCUGCUGGGGCCACGAUGCAUCUGUCUCAUGCAGUCAUAUAGAGACCCAAGUUGAUAGCUGUGAUGUGUUCUCCAAAACAUGGCUUUAGAGGUUGCCAUGGAAAUCAACAUCCAACUGAUGGAAGAGGCAAGAGAAAGGAUGCAAAAACCACACCAGCUGUUUAAUUACCUGGGUCCAGAAGUAACAGGUGCCACUACCUCUCACAUUCUAUUAGUGGAAAUUAGUCACAUGGCCUCUCCUAACUGCUAGUAAGUAUAGAAAAGUUGGUUUUGGCUGGGCAGCCACAAGACAAAGCUACUAAGAAAGACAUAGCAUUAAUUUUAUGUUGUUAGCCAUCUCUGCUAUAAGCGUAAGUCAAAUAGAAUUUUCAUUUUUCUUAAGUCUUUGAGAAAAACAUUGGGACAAACAUUAACUGGAAUAUUGAUAUCCAUUAGGUAUGAGCUUGAUUGUUUCUAACUCAUAUUUCAAAAUUACCAGAUAUAGCAAUUCAGGGAAGAAGAAAAAGGUUUAAAGACUGUGACAUUCAGACUGCUAUAUUCAAUACAGAAAAGAUAUUUGGUGAUAUUUCUAUCCCUUUUUCUUAAAUGUACAUUCUUCUGGGAUUUAAUAAAGUCACAUUCUGAUUUUUAAAAAUAGUACUAUUAAUCUCACUAUAGAGCUCUGAAAAUAAUAGAAUCGUGCUGUUAUAUUACAGCAGUUAUUGAUUGUCCAUUUUUUCCAAAGACACUGAGAUCUAUGGAAGAAAUAAGCCUCAUUAUUUUUCAUUUGUAUUUAAUGUAGAUGCAACAAAAGUUAUAUACUUCUUUAUUAUAUAUUUUGUCAUGCCUAUUAAAUGCCAGUUAUAUAAGAUGAUUCCUGAUCCAAACACAGUGCUUUAUGUUAUUGGGAUUAAAAGAAUUAGUUAAAGCUUUAAGUUAAAUUACUUUUGAAUUCAUUUAUGGCUAGGUACACAUGAAAUAAACACUCUACAUUGUCUACAGUGGUAAUUGCCAAGAAAAAGAGUAUAUUUUAGUAACAAUUUGGCUAAGCGCCUCAAAUUCAAAGUAAUUCCACAUUUAAAUACUAACACUCAAACCUGAAAGUUGUCUUUAAAAGCUUUAUAAAUUGUUUCUGGUGAGGGUUUUACGACUAUGGGGUGGGUGGAAAGGGGAGGAAGGAAGAGGGACUGCCUCACUAUAAGCUGAUAACAAGGUUGCUAAAAAUUGCUCUUAUCAAUGGUCUUUGCACUUAACUUGUUUAAAUAAAAGAAAAAACUUCAUGUGAGUCAUCGUAUUUUGUUCACUACAGCUUGGCAGGUCACCUUGUUCUAGCAGAUAGAAACUGAAUCAAUAUGGGAAGAGCCAGAAUUUGGACAAGGUUCACCAAACAUUCACACUGAUGCCAGGUGGGCCAAGAAAAAGGGAAUGUCCUGCCUCUGAGGUAUCUAAAAAUUUUUAUGUUUAAGUCAAGGGUUUUGUGUUGUGAAGGCAGAGCUUUGAAUUUCUAAUAGAAGAAGAAAAGCAGAAUAUACCCAGAAACUCCUGAUUAAAUUUAUGGUCCUCUAAUAAUAUUUUAACUUUAAAGGAGUCAGACGGCAUUCUAGAAAAGAGCCCUUUGGUCAAUGCUUUCCUAUCUAUAGUUUAAUCAACCCUUCCAUAUAUGCACAUAUUAAGCAAAUUCAAAUGACAUUAAAAAUAAGUUACAUUUCUUAUUCUAACCCCUGCCAUUCAUCCCGCUUUCCCCCCAUUGUCACACAUAUGCCCACUUCCACUUCUGCACAUAGGAAGAAAGGGUGAAUAAAUGUCAGAAUCAAGUGGAAAGAUUAAUCAUAGGCUGUUUUUUACAUUGUUUUAUUCUGAGUCAGAAUACGCUUUACAGGACAUAGGCAAGCACUUGAAAUAUAGGACUCAGAACAUAAGAUGCUUCGUAGGACCCAGGCAAGCACAGCAAUUAAAUGGAAUUCCACAUUUUUAAGGAAAGCUUUUUACUUUUCUUCCUCUUUUUGUUUCUCUUUACUUUUGCAGCUCCCUUCAAAAGUCCUUUCUGUGAGACACAUUUUUAACUACCAUAUUGUUCAAUUUUAACAAGAGUUCAGGGUGAGGAAGGUUAUAGCUGAGGCAUUUACAAGGAUUUCCUGUUUGUAGUGGCUGCUUUUUCCUCUUUGGUAAUGUGUUUUUCACAUUUUUUAAAAGCUGCCUGUAUGCAUUAAUAUUACUUAAUCUCCAUCACCUUAAGAAACCAUAUGGGGCAGGGAGAGGAAGACCGGUGCUGGCUCUUUCCCUUUCUCAAUGACUUGAGACACCUUAACCUUGCUUAACUUUUUCUAGAAAAUGAAGAUAGUAACACCUGCUCUGAAUUGUCACAGAAUUAUUGUAAGGCUCAAAUAAAAUCUAUGUAUUUAAGGAAUCAAUAUGUAAUAAAGAUCUUGAAGUGUUAGUAGUCGAUUAUAUCUGAGAUACAUUCGCCAAUAUCCAAGGGGGACAAAGAGAGCUCCAUACCCCGGGGGAAAUGUAGUCCACUGACAAUUUGUCCACACAAUUAGAAUACAAAAUAGCACCCUAUGCCUCAACUUUUUUACAGUCAAAGAAAGCAUGAGGCAUAAAUAGUCCUGAAGGGAUGUGGAGUCUGUUUGCUCUGCAUAUGAUUUGCAUAUGCUCCUCUGAAAAGUCACCGGGCAACCGAGUAAUUGUACAGUAAUGAUGUGGUUAAAAAAACAGAUUGAUCUACUUUUAUUAUUAUUGUUACAAAAUAAUACAUAUAUUUUUAAAAUUCAAACGAUACUAAAAGUUACAUUCCCUGUCCUACUCCCUGUCACUUAUACCAUUUCCCAGUUUCUGUUUUUAGUUCUGAUGGUUUCCUUUUUGCUCUCCACUGUGACUGAUAUACAUUUAUACUUCUAUUUUUUGAUGACUCAAGUUUCGAUAGUAUCUUCUCACUCCCAGUACAAGAUAUUCAGUACACAAAAGAUAUCCUUUUCUCUCCUGAGUUUCAUUUUACGUGUGUAUGAACACACAAACAUGCUAACACACAUGCUCACACAAUCUUUUAGCUCUUGUAUAGGUUCCUGAAUUAAUUGUUCAGUAGUAUACUAAGCCUCUACUUCUGGUUUCCAAUUUAGGCCCUGCAUGUUGUCCAACACUAGCCCAUCAGUGGGAUUGUUUUACAUUCAGGGCAGCUGCACUACUGCCUCCUUGGAGAACAGUGCCUCCUGGAGUUUAGCAGUGCACAGCCCUACAGAUUAAUGCAGGGGCCCUGAUCAUAUUUGUAUUUUGUUCCUGUAUAUGUUUAAUCAAUCUUUAGAAUCUCAUCUAUAGUUGGUUCAUUAUUGCUGGGAAACAAACGGCAUUUACAAAGUCAAAUUUUAGUAAUGUUAUUCAUUAUAUAAAUGAAUAGUAUCUUUCUCUCCAUAUCCUUUACAAAGUCUUCAAAAGUUUCUGAAAUUUCACUAGGAUAAGUUGGUGGAUCUUUUUCUCACCCAUUCAGUACUUUGUGGGCUUUUUCAAAUGGCAGAUUUGUGUCUUUUUUAAAACUCUGAAUAAUUUUCUUCUAUUACAGCUUUGAUAAUUUUCAUCCCUCUGUUUUCCCUACUCACUCUUUCUAGAACUUCUUUUUCCAUUUUUUAGUGAUAAAAUACACAUACAUAAAUACUAUCUUAACCAUUUCUAAGUAUGCAAUUCAGUGGUACUAAAUACAUUCAUAAUGUUAUGCCACAUAACCACCAUCCAUCUCCAUAACUCUUUUCAACUUGUAAAACUGAAACUCUAUACCCAUUAAGCAAUAACUCCUCAUUCCUCCUCCCCCAAACUCCUGGAAACAACUAUUCUACUUUCUGUGUUUAUGAUUUUGAAUACUCUAAGUACUUCAUGUAAAAGGAAUCAUGCAGCAUUUGUGUUUUUGUAAUUGGCUUAUUUCACUUAGCAGGUCCUCAGGGUUCAUCAGUGUUUUAGCAUGAAUCAGAAUUUCCUUCUUUUUAAGGCUGCAUAAUAGUCUACUGUAUGUAUACACCAUAGUUACUUAUCCACACAUCCACUGAUGGAUACUUGAGUUGCUUCCAUGGUUUAGCUACUGUGGAUAAUGCUGCUAUGGUCAUGAGUGUACAAAUAUCUCUUAGGGUUCUAUCAAUUAUUUUGGGUAUAUACUCAGAAGUGGAAUUGCUGAAUCAUAUAAUGAUUCUAUUUUUAAUUUUUUUAGGAAUGGCCAUACUGUUGUCCACAGUGGCUGUAUCACAUAAAUUCCCAUUAAUGGUGCAAAGGUUUCAGUUUCUCCACAUCCUCACCAACAUUUGUUAUUUUCUGUUUUGUCUUGUUGAUAUUUGUCAUUCUAAUGAGCGUGAGGCGUUAUCUCAUGGUAGUUUUAAUUUGCACUUCCCUAAUGAUUAGUGAUGCUAAGCAUCUGUUCACGUACUUAUUGUCCAUUUGUAUAUCUUGUUUGGAGAAAUGUCUAUUCAAGUACUCUGCUCAUUUUUGAAUCAGGUUGUUUGCUUUUUUUGUUGUAAGUUACAGAAGUUUCUAUAUAUUCUAAAUAUUAUAUUCUGAUAAGGGUAUCAGAUAUAUGACUUGAGAAUAUUUCCUCCCAUUCUGUGGUUCACAUUUUUACUCCAUUGCUAGUGUCUUUUGAUGUAUAAAAUUAAUUUUAAUGAGGUCAAUUUGUCUAUUAUUUCCUUUGCUGUCUGUGCCUUUGGUGUCAAGUCCAAGAAGUCAUUGCCAAGUCCAAUGUCAUAAAGCUUUUGCUCUAUGUUUUCUUCUGAGAGUUUUAUUAGUUUAGAUCUUACAUUUAGGUCUUUGAUGCAUUUGCAGUUAAUUUUUGUAUAUAGUGUUGGGUAAGGGCCCAACUUCAUUCUUUUGCAUGGGAAAAUCCAGUUUUCUAAGCACCAUUGUUGAAAAGAGUAUUCUUUCUACAUUGAAUAGUCUUAGCACCUUGUCAAAAAUCACUUGAUCAUAUGUGUUAGGGUUUAUUUCUGGGCUCUGUAUUCUAUUCCAUUAGCCUGUAUGUCUGUCUUUUUACCAGUGCCACGCUGUAUUGAUUUUUGUAGCUUUGUUGUAAGUUUUCCAAUAGAAAACUGUGAUUUUUCCAGCUUUGUUCUUCUUCAAGAUUGUUUUGUCUAUUUGAGGUCCCUUCAGAAUUCCAUUUGAAUUUUUGGAUGAGUUUUUCUAUUUAUGAAAAAAAAAAUCAUUGGAAUUUUGAAAAACAUUGCACUGAAUUUUUACAUUACUUUGGAGAGCAUUGACAUCUUAACAAUAUGAAGUUUUCCAAUCUAUCCAUGAAGAUGGGAUGUGUUUUCAUGUAUUUAUGUAUUCUUUCUUUCAGCAACAUUUUAUAGUUUAGGCUGGGUGUGGUGGCUCACACCUCU